AGGGUAAAGUGCAGAGCCUGAUCUGCCACUGGAUGUUGAAUAACUGCUGAUAUGGAGGGCAAGAGACGUCCUGCCUACCCCAAGUGUCCCUGCAGUAGGAAAUGCUGUAGCAAAGUCAUCUGUCUCCUCAGAUGUCUGGAUGAAUGGCGAUAAAUGUUGUGCUUUUAACUUCUAAUUCCCACUGCAGCAAAGAAGCUCGCUGCCUCAGUCCUGAAUUCCUGUUACUGACGGAGAUCCAUUUGGAUACUUCUCUGUGCUUGCUGCAUUUCCAUGGUCCCAUAUCCUGCUGGCAAGUUUGUGGAAGCAGUGUUACCAUACACAAUGAGUAUGAUAAGAGGGCAAGGCAAAACUUUUAUAAGAUUGACUCAAACAGAAAAACAUACAUGGAGCACUGCGCAGCAGAAUAUGGGAAGAACUUGAUAGGAAGAACUUGA
ensembl:lncRNA